rnacentral:rRNA from 1 species
GAUUAACGCUAGCGGCAGGCCUAAUACAUGCAAGUCGAACGGUAGCACGGGUAGCAAUACCUGGUGGCGAGUGGCGCACGGGUGCGUAACGCGUAUGCAACCUACCUAUAACCCGGGAAUAGCCUUCUGAAAGGAAGAUUAAUACCGCAUAAUAUCACUGGACGGCAUCGCUCGGUGAUCAAAACUCUGGUGGUUAUAGAUGGGCAUGCGUGACAUUAGCUAGUUGGUGAGGUAACGGCUCACCAAGGCUACGAUGUCUAGGGGGUCUGAGAGGAUGAUCCCCCAGACUGGUACUGAGACACGGACCAGACUCCUACGGGAGGCAGAAGUAAGGAAUAUUGGACAAUGGGCGCAAGCCUGAUCCAGCCAUGCCGCGUGAAGGAUGACGGCCCUCUGGGUUGUAAACUUCUUUUAUACGGGAAUAAACCCCUCGAUUCUUCGGGGGCUGAAUGUACUGUAAGAAUAAGGAUCGGCUAACUUCGUGCCAGCCGCCGCGGUAAGAC